rnacentral:rRNA from 1 species
CAUAGCGACUAUCGUGGCAUAUCAAUAAGCGGAGGAAAAGAAACUAACAAGGAUUCCCCUAGUAACGGCGAGUGAAGCGGGAAGAGCUCAAAUUUGAAAUCUUAAAGGGUUUCCCUUUACGAAUUGUAGUUUAAAGAAGUGUUUUCUGUUGGAGUUUCGGUAAAAGUUCUUUGGAAUAGGACAUCAUAGAGGGUGAGAAUCCCGUAUUUGACCAUUAUUUUCAGCUGUGUGAUACACUUUCAAAGAGUCGGAUUGUUUGGGAGUGCAGUCCAAAAUGGGUGGUAAAUUUCACCUAAAGCUAAAUAUUGGCGAGAGACCGAUAGCGAACAAGUACCGUGAGGGAAAGAUGAAAAGAACUUUGAAAAGAGAGUUAAACAGUACGUGAAAUUGUCAAAAGGGAAGCGUUUGACACCAGUGUUGUUUUCUCGAAAAUCAAUUAAAAAUGGCCGGAUUUUGUGUUGUAUUGACUUUAUCAGCUUUCUGCACUUUUUUCUUGUCUUUUUUAAUGCACUUUUCGUUUAACAAGUCAACAUCAAUUUCUUUUGUUGUAAAAGAGUCAUUGGAAGGUGGCUUUCAUUUCGGUGAAAGUGUUUAUAGCCUUUGACUUCUGCAAUCGGAGAGAUUGAGGUCUGCAGCGUAGAUCCUCCGGGGUUAGAUACAUUUGUGCUAAGUUAUAGUUUUUCAUAGACAACAUGUUGACUAUGAUUAAUCAUGUAGCUUACUCGCUUAUGCUAUUUUACCUACGCUUAGGAUGUUGAUAGUCACAGCGUGUAC